rnacentral:misc_RNA from 1 species
GAGAAAUGCAAAAAACUUAUUAUAAUAAUUGAACUCUCUUUCACUUCCUGAAAGGGAGUAAAGAAAUUUAAACAAAAUGCAUAUUUUUGCAACAAAUGUUUUACGGUAGACAAGUACUUGCCCAAAGAAUGCUUCAGUACGUCUUUAGCCGUUGUAGUUACAAUGUCAAUCCAAUUUUCACAAUCUGAUCCAACAAAUUUGCCACAUUAGACAUGCUGGGACGCUCGCUGGGAUUUUCUCUCAAAGCAAGCUCAGCUACAUCAACAAGUUUAAGAAGUGGUUCCACACUUCUAGGUAGCGCCACGUUCUGAUCAAUAAUGGCUGCUGCUCUUCCCAUUCUAAUUAGAGGCAAUCCCCAUUCAACAAUGCCUGGAGGACUGUAGUGCCUGUCAUAAGCUUUCCUUCCGCUUAAUAUUUCUAGCAGAACCACACCAAAAUUGUAGACAUCACUCGCCAUAUCCCCAUUUAAAUCCUUAUCGAGUCCAAAAUCUGCAAUUCUUGCCCCCCACUCAGAGUCCAACAAAAUGUUUGAUGUCUUCACAUCCCUA